CAAAAUUCCAUUUACAUGAUGCACAACGUACCCAUACUCUACUUUGACAUUGCAUACAUUUACACAUAAACACUAACUGUGAUAGGAUUGCACACUGGUAAAAAAUAUAACAAGAAUCUAGUCAUAAAAUAGAACAUAUGUAGAUUACAAAAUAUUAAUUCAAAAGCAUACUUAAUAUACCCAUACCUAUGUGCUUGCUAAGAAGAAAGAAUUAGGAAAAGCAAAAAGUAGUAAAAAUGGGAAUGCGAUAACUUUAAAAUAUAAUAGACCAUUCUGAAGCUAUAUAGAUCUAGCUAUUAAAAUUUGAGAAUCCACACUUCUUUCGUUAGUAUAUAGCUGUCUGAUCAGUUGCAUCUACUUUCUCUCCACAAAGACCAAGAAAAUCGAUCUAUAAAUAUGAGAAUUAGCAAAGGCGUGACUAAAAAAACCUUCAAAUCAUAUGUCGAACCAUAGUAGCAUUUAAAAAAGUAGUGAAUCACCGAAUUUUGGAAAAAUCUCUUGACAUAAUAGGCGAAAAAUAAAACAAUUAAAAGUAAUUACUUGCAUAACAGUGCCUUGGUCAUUGGCCGUUUCGAUUUAUUUCUCGAAUAUUUUCCUCUAGCGAUGGUGUUUAUGAAAGACGCCGGUGGAGCUUGAAGGAAUGCAAUGAAAAAUAGAGACCUCUAGCAUGAAGGAAUUUCAAAUAGUAAUGAAGUAUGAUGGAGGUGUAUGUACUAUAAAGAGAAGAAAUAUGUGUACAUUGUAGAGAGAGAACGAAUGUGUGUG
rnacentral:lncRNA from 1 species